CCUACGGGUGGCAGCAGUGAGGAAUAUUGGUCAAUGGACGAGAGUCUGAACCAGCCAAGUAGCGUGAAGGAUGACUGCCCUAUGGGUUGUAAACUUCUUUUAUAUGGGAAUAAAACGUUCCACGUGUGGGAUUUUGUAUGUACCAUAUGAAUAAGGAUCGGCUAACUCCGUGCCAGCAGCCGCGGUAAUACGGAGGAGCCGAGCGUUAUCCGGAUUUAUUGGGUUUAAAGGGAGCGUAGGUGGAUUGUUAAGUCAGUUGUGAAAGUUUGCGGCUCAACCGUAAAAUUGCAGUUGAAACUGGCAGUCUUGAGGACAGUAGAGGUGGGCGGAAUUCGUGGUGUAGCGGUGAAAUGCUUAGAUAUCACGAAGAACUCCGAUUGCGAAGGCAGUUCACUGGACUGCAACUGACACUGAGGCUCGAAAGUGUGGGUAUCAAACAGGAUUAGAUACCCGUGUAGUC
rnacentral:rRNA from 1 species